AAAUUGAAGAGUUUGAUCAUGGCUCAGAUUGAACGCUGGCGGCAGGCCUAACACAUGCAAGUCGAGCGGAAACGAGUUAUCUGAACCUUCGGGGRACGAUAACGGCGUCGAGCGGCGGACGGGUGAGUAAUGCCUAGGAAAUUGCCCUGAUGUGGGGGAUAACCAUUGGAAACGAUGGCUAAUACCGCAUGAUGCCUACGGGCCAAAGAGGGGGACCUUCGGGCCUCUCGCGUCAGGAUAUGCCUAGGUGGGAUUAGCUAGUUGGUGAGGUAAGGGCUCACCAAGGCGACGAUCCCUAGCUGGUCUGAGAGGAUGAUCAGCCACACUGGAACUGAGACACGGUCCAGACUCCUACGGGAGGCAGCAGUGGGGAAUAUUGCACAAUGGGCGCAAGCCUGAUGCAGCCAUGCCGCGUGUGUGAAGAAGGCCUUCGGGUUGUAAAGCACUUUCAGUCGUGAGGAAGGURGUGKWGUUAAUAGCWSYAUYAUUUGACGUUAGCGACAGAAGAAGCACCGGCUAACUCCGUGCCAGCAGCCGCGGUAAUACGGAGGGUGCGAGCGUUAAUCGGAAUUACUGGGCGUAAAGCGCAUGCAGGUGGUUUGUUAAGUCAGAUGUGAAAGCCCGGGGCUCAACCUCGGAAUUGCAUUUGAAACUGGCAGACUAGAGUACUGUAGAGGGGGGUAGAAUUUCAGGUGUAGCGGUGAAAUGCGUAGAGAUCUGAAGGAAUACCGGUGGCGAAGGCGGCCCCCUGGACAGAUACUGACACUCAGAUGCGAAAGCGUGGGGAGCAAACAGGAUUAGAUACCCUGGUAGUCCACGCCGUAAACGAUGUCUACUUGGAGGUUGUGGCCUUGAGCCGUGGCUUUCGGAGCUAACGCGUUAAGUAGACCGCCUGGGGAGUACGGUCGCAAGAUUAAAACUCAAAUGAAUUGACGGGGGCCCGCACAAGCGGUGGAGCAUGUGGUUUAAUUCGAUGCAACGCGAAGAACCUUACCUACUCUUGACAUCCAGAGAACUUUCCAGAGAUGGAUUGGUGCCUUCGGGAACUCUGAGACAGGUGCUGCAUGGCUGUCGUCAGCUCGUGUUGUGAAAUGUUGGGUUAAGUCCCGCAACGAGCGCAACCCUUAUCCUUGUUUGCCAGCGAGUAAUGUCGGGAACUCCAGGGAGACUGCCGGUGAUAAACCGGAGGAAGGUGGGGACGACGUCAAGUCAUCAUGGCCCUUACGAGUAGGGCUACACACGUGCUACAAUGGCGCAUACAGAGGGCAGCCAACUUGCGAAAGUGAGCGAAUCCCAAAAAGUGCGUCGUAGUCCGGAUUGGAGUCUGCAACUCGACUCCAUGAAGUCGGAAUCGCUAGUAAUCGUGGAUCAGAAUGCCACGGUGAAUACGUUCCCGGGCCUUGUACACACCGCCCGUCACACCAUGGGAGUGGGCUGCAAAAGAAGUAGGUAGUUUAACCUUCGGGGGGACGCUUACCACUUUGUGGUUCAUGACUGGGGUGAAGUCGUAACAAGGUAGCGCUAGGGGAACCUGGCGCUGGAUCACCUCCUUAUACACACCGCCCGUCACACCAUGGGAGUGGGCUGCAAAAGAAGUAGGUAGUUUAACCUUCGGGGGGACGCUUACCACUUUGUGGUUCAUGACUGGGGUGAAGUCGUAACAAGGUAGCGCUAGGGGAACCUGGCGCUGGAUCACCUCCUUAWACGAUGAU
rnacentral:rRNA from 1 species